GCUGACCCUCUUGAGUUCCCGUAAAAACAAGUGUGUCACGUUUUACAUGCAAGUUUGUUACGGGCGGUAACAAUAACCAUAUCUUUAUGGACACUUUGUGAUUUUCUGCAUGGCGAACCCUCUCGGCUUGAUCUCUGAUUUGUUUUAUGUUACUCAAACUCCCUUUCUUUCUCCACCUCCUCUCUCCCUCUCUCAGUUUCUGUCUUUCACUUUGCAUCCUUUGCCAAAGUGGGCAGGGAGAAAGAGCUCGUGGUGAGGCGGGUGAAACGGAGGCCGCUGUAUGUGCUCUUUCUUCAGCCACAACCCCGAGGAAGAGCAUGUUUGGUGGUAGCACGUUUCUAGGUCUCUCUCCUCGAGAUAGGCGUAGUAUGUGCAUGAGUCUUCUCUUCUCGCCGCCAUGACCCUGCCUUGGGUUCUUUGACGCUGAAGCCUCUAGUCUGCAGGAAUCCAGCGGUCUGCUUUCUGACUGGUUGUCAUCUGUUCUGCUGUCCUUGGGGCUGAGGUAGUAGAUUGAAUAGUUGUGGAGCCCUGCGCUCUCUCACUGAGAUAACUAUACAAUCUACUGUCUUUCCUAAGGCGACAGCCAAAUCAUCCACAAACACGUGUCUGCAUUCAUCCAAUGAGUCGCGAAGGAUUACAGAAGUAAAACGGGUUGGGAUUGAUGUGUCAUGUUGACUUCAUUCAUACGCAAGCAUGUCAGGCGAUGGGAUUGGUGUCUUGACAGGGUGAGGUAGUAGGUUGUAUAGUUUGGUGGGAGGGAUCAAACCCUGCUCAGGUGAUAACUAUACAGUCUAUUGCCUUCCUUGUUGUGCCAACUAUCUGCCAGCUAGUGGAAAAUCCCUGGAGCUUAAAUAUUGGUUCAACUUCACAGUCUGCUUCACACCACAUGAACUAUAUAUGUGAAUAUAGCGUGUUUUCAGCAUCCGUGUAUAUACACUGCCUGCAUAAACAGAAACAAAUACACCGUAGUUGCCACAAAAUAGGUUGAAAAUGCCCCAUAAACCUAUUUGUAGACUUUUAUGAAGCAGCAAAAUAAACAUGUUCUAUUCAGUAAAUCUGACUGAAUCAAGAGACUGCAAGUUAAGCAGUUUAUCUGCACUUAAUGCUUUUUGGUUCUGUUUUGCGUAGAUUAAUACAUAUUUGGAUGUAAAAGCUCAUGUAAAUUACAAUCAAUUACAACGAAAUGGCAAGUAACACAUUCAAUUAAAUGUAAAAUGUUGCAGUAGAAAGAUUAUAUGUUCUCCAGUAAUCUCUCUUUUGAUUGCAGUUUGCAAUUUUUUUUUUUAUUUUUUUUUUUGAUAAUUGGUAAUAAUAAGAAAUGUUUCUUGAGCAGCAAAUCAGCAUAUUAAAAUUAUUUCUGAAGGAUCACGUGACACUUAAGACUGGAGUAAUGAUGCUGAAAAUUCAGCUUUGAAUCACAUGCAAAUUUAUUUAUUUUUUUUUUUUUUUGAAUAAAAAUUCAUCCUAUGAGAAAAAAAUUCAAUAAAAAUCCAACUAACCUCAUGAUGAACAGUAAUUUAAUGAUGAUCGUGUUUGUAAUAUUCUCACUCCACUAAACAUUUGAUAGGUUAUGGUCAUAAAUUUAAAGAAAGAUUUGUGCUGUAUAGUGGAGCAGCAGAAGCGUUGCGAGUGUGAAAGCACCGUGAGACAGCUUUGUGUGUGUUUUGUGAAACAGCCCUAACACUUUACCUAACAAGCCUGAACAACAUCCAUGCCUCUCCUGCCAGCUUAACAUGCUGAUCUAGUAUUACAUAUGAAGAGAAAUACCAGAUUAAAAGAGAUUUAUGGAGCUCGGAUUUAUGGCUUAAUCAACAUUUUGGCUUUUCUGUUGGCUUGUGAUCAAACAGGAUUUUCACACAUCAUAACAGGAAAUUCAGUUUCAAUCAGACAAUGCAUGUGGCCUUGUUCAGUUGUUCUAUGAAUAAAAUAGUUUUAUUCAACAAUAUUUUGCCUUUUCGAUUUUAUUUUUAUUUUUAAGUUAAUUUUGAGCAGUUUGUACAAAAGAGUUAUCUUGUAGAAAGACAGUUUUGCUUUGCAGAAGUUAGAGGUAAAACAGAUUAUGCUGUUUGUAUUCCUUUGAUGUGCAACCUUUUUAAAAUCAUAUCAAACACAUUGUAUAAACAGGUAGUAUUUUGUAGGCAUAUAGUUAAAG
ensembl:lncRNA